ACUCCUGCGGGAGGCAGCAGUGGGGAAUAUUGCACAAUGGGCGCAAGCCUGAUGCAGCCAUGCCGCGUGUAUGAAGAAGGCCUUCGGGUUGUAAAGUACUUUCAGCGGGGAGGAAGGCGAUAAGGUUAAUAACCUUGUUGAUUGACGUUACCCGCAGAAGAAGCACCGGCUAACUCCGUGCCAGCAGCCGCGGUAAUACGGAGGGUGCAAGCGUUAAUCGGAAUUACUGGGCGUAAAGCGCACGCAGGCGGUCUGUCAAGUCGGAUGUGAAAUCCCCGGGCUCAACCUGGGAACUGCAUUCGAAACUGGCAGGCUAGAGUCUUGUAGAGGGGGGUAGAAUUCCAGGUGUAGCGGUGAAAUGCGUAGAGAUCUGGAGGAAUACCGGUGGCGAAGGCGGCCCCCUGGACAAAGACUGACGCUCAGGUGCGAAAGCGUGGGGAGCAAACAGGAUUAGAUACCCGAGUAUCCCAUGAU
rnacentral:rRNA from 1 species